AAUGCACCAAUUUGUAAGUCGCUCUGGAUAAGAGCGUCUGAUAAAUGACGUAAA
rfam:Salmo salar isolate Sally breed double haploid chromosome ssa15, whole genome shotgun sequence.